GGGGUAGAAGCUCAGUGGUUGAGCAAUCGAUUGCAGCACCAGUUGCAUCAUCGAUAGGCCGUGUGUUCGAAUCACAUCUGCCCCU